CGGAGGAUCCAAGCGUUAUCCGGAUUUAUUGGGUUUAAAGGGUGCGUAGGCGGCCUGUUAAGUCAGGGGUGAAAGACGGUAGCUCAACUAUCGCAGUGCCCUUGAUACUGACGGGCUUGAAUUGACUAGAGGUAGGCGGAAUGUGACAAGUAGCGGUGAAAUGCAUAGAUAUGUCACAGAACACCGAUUGCGAAGGCAGCUUACUAUGGUCUUAUUGACGCUGAGGCACGAAAGCGUGGGGAUCAAACAGGAUUAGAUACCCUGGUAGUCCACGCCCUAAACGAUGAAUACUCGCUGUUGGCGAUACACAGUCAGCGGCUAAGCGAAAGCGUUAAGUAUUCCACCUGGGGAGUACGCCCGCAAGGGUG
rnacentral:rRNA from 1 species